AUUGAACGCUGGCGGCAGGCUUAACACAUGCAAGUCGAGCGGAGAUGAGGUGCUUGCACCUUAUCUUAGCGGCGGACGGGUGAGUAAUGCUUAGGAAUCUGCCUAUUAGUGGGGGACAACAUUCCGAAAGGAAUGCUAAUACCGCAUACGCCCUACGGGGGAAAGCAGGGGAUCUUCGGACCCUGCGCUAAUAGAUGAGCCUAAGUCGGAUUAGCUAGUUGGUGGGGUAAAGGCCUACCAAGGCGACGAUCUGUAGCGGGUCUGAGAGGAUGAUCCGCCACACUGGGACUGAGACACGGCCCAGACUCCUACGGGAGGCAGCAGUGGGGAAUAUUGGACAAUGGGCGGAAGCCUGAUCCAGCCAUGCCGCGUGUGUGAAGAAGGCCUUUUGGUUGUAAAGCACUUUAAGCGAGGAGGAGGCUACCUGGAUUAAUACCCUAGGAUAGUGGACGUUACUCGCAGAAUAAGCACCGGCUAACUACGUGCCAGCCGCCGCCGUAACAC
rnacentral:rRNA from 1 species